CGAGGUUGAAUGGUCAGGGCUGGCCCAGGAGCUGCCUUAAGGGUCACAGCUGCAGGUUGAGCAUCCUGCAUCCUUAGGACUGUAUCCGGUACACCUGGCGGUCCGAGCCCGAAGCCCCGAGUGCCUGGAUCUGCUGGUGGACAGUGGGGCUGAAGUGGAGGCCACAGAGCGGCAGGGGGGACGAACAGCCUUGCAUCUAGCCACAGAGAUGGAGGAGCUGGGGUUGGUCACCCAUCUGGUCACCAAGCUCCGGGCCAACGUGAACGCUCGCACCUUUGCGGGAAACACACCCCUGCACCUGGCCGCUGGACUGGGGUACCCGACCCUCACCCGCCUCCUUCUGAAGGCUGGUCAGUCUCACCCUCAGGGGCACUUGAACAGGGUGGGGGGAAGGGAGAGAGGUGCCUCCCAGUCCCCCCACUUUGCAGUCCUUAAUGUAGGCCCCCACCAUACCUCCCCAUGACGGCCUCCCUCUCCCAGGUGCUGACAUCCAUGCUGAAAACGAGGAGCCCCUGUGCCCACUGCCUUCACCCCCUACCUCUGAUAGCGACUCGGACUCUGAAGGACCUG
rnacentral:sRNA from 1 species